rnacentral:piRNA from 1 species
UGUGGAAGGAGGCCUCGUGGAGCAGCC